rnacentral:rRNA from 1 species
AUUGAACGCUGGCGGCAUGCCUUACACAUGCAAGUCGAACGGCAGCACGGGAGCAAUCCUGGUGGCGAGUGGCGAACGGGUGAGUAAAGUAUCGGAACGUGCCCAGUCGUGGGGGAUAACGUAGCGAAAGUUACGCUAAUACCGCAUACGAUCUAUGGAUGAAAGCGGGGGAUCGCAAGACCUCGCGCGAUUGGAGCGGCCGAUAUCAGAAUAGGUAGUUGGUGGGGUAAAGGCUCACCAAGCCGACGAUCUGUAGCUGGUCUGAGAGGACGACCAGCCACACUGGGGCUGAGACACGGCCCAGACUACUACGGGAGGCAGCAGUGGGGAAUUUUGGACAAUGGGCGAAAGCCUGAGCCAGCCAUGCCGCGUGCAGGAUGAAGGCCUUCGGGUUGUAAACUGCGUUUGUACGGAACGAAAAGGUUUGGCCUAAUAAGCUGAGCUCAUGACGGUACCGUAAGAAUAAGCACCGGCUAACUACGUGCCAGCCGCCGCCGUAA